rnacentral:rRNA from 1 species
AGACGUCUACAUUAGAUACCCGCGUAGUCCCAGCCGUAAACUAUGCGCGUUAGGUGUAUCGGUGACCACGAGUCACCGAGGUGCCGAAGGGAAACCGUGAAACGUGCCGCCUGGGAAGUACGGUCGCAAGGCUGAAACUUAAAGGAAUUGGCGGGGAGCACAACAGCGGGUGGAGCCUGCGGUUUAAUUGGACUCAACGCCGGGAAGCUCACCGGAUAAGACAGCGGAAUGAUUGCCGGGCUGAAGACUCUGCAUGACUAGCUG